UACAGAGGUGCCGAGCGUUAGGCGGAAUCACUGGGCUUAAAGCGUGUGUAGGCGGGCGGGCAAGUACCUUGUGAAAUCCCACGGCUCAACCGUGGAACUGCUGGGUAUACUGCCUGUCUUGAGCCAGCUAGGGGCGAGCGGAACAGACGGUGGAGCGGUGAAAUGCGUAGAUAUCGUCUGGAACGCCGAAGGUGAAAACAGCUCGCUGGGGCUGUGCUGACGCUGAGACACGAAAGCCAGGGGAGCGAACGGG
rnacentral:rRNA from 1 species